GACGAACGCUGGCGGCGUGCCUCAAACAUGCAAGUCGAGCGGACGGAGACCGAACCGCAAGGGGAGGUUGAAGUUAGCGGCGAACGGGUGAGUAACACGUGGGUAACCUACCCUAAAGUCUGGGACAACGGCCCGAAAGGGCCGCUAAUACCGGAUAAUGUCUUCGGGUCGCAUGGCCUGGGGAAGAAAGCCGAAAGGCGCUUAUGGAUGGGCUCGCGUCCCAUCAGCUAGUUGGUAAGGUAACGGCUUACCAAGGCGACGACGGGUAGCCGGUCUGAGAGGAUGGUCGGCCACACUGGGACUGAGAUACGGCCCAGACUCCUACGGGAGGCAGCAGUUGGGAAUAUUGGGCAAUGGGCGAAAGGCCUGACCCAGCGACGCCGCGUGAGGGAAGAAGGCCUUCGGGUCGUAAACCUCUGUCAUCGGGGACGAAGAAAGUGACGGUACCCGAGGAGGAAGCCCCUGCUAACUACGUG
rnacentral:rRNA from 1 species